ACCACCCAGCUUCCUGUUAAAGCGAUGAUGGGCGUGUGGGGUCACAGAGAGAUCACAGGAACUAUUUUGUGCGGCCUAUGAAAAGAAAAGAAAGGAAAAUGCUCACGUAACAGACUGUCACUCGCGGAGAUUUUUCUUUCAAAGGAGCAGAUUUGCUUUAAAAUGCAUUUCACCCUUAUUCUUCUGUGUGCCUAAACAAUAAACACGUCGUUUUGUCUCCAAGAAGAUGCUGGUUUAUGAGCAAUGAGGUUCUCUUCCCGUGAACAGCUGAGAAAAGGCUUCACAUAAUAGAAAGUGAGAGGAUUAAUUGAAAGAAAACUCUUCUUUCUCAAAUUCUUUAUGCUGACACCCGGUUCAUAAUUCUCUGCCAACAAAAUAACUUGUAUAGGGUUGUUGUUGUUGUUUUUACAGCAAGAAAAAAAAUGCAGUGUGUAGUUAAUAUUGUUAAACAUUGUUCAGUUUUAUUGCCGUGUCCACGUGAAUGAUGGUGACAGUGAGCCAUGGGCAUUGGCACAGUAACAGGACCCAGCCACAGCAGCUAUAAAGGGAAUUCGCUCAUCUUUCAGUUUAUCAUUCACUAAUGAUGGCAACGGCAAGAGGUUGAGGUCUGUCAAGACCAAAAACCUCCCGUCACAAAGACAGUGUCUUCCCUUCUGCCGUCAGGCUCAUCAACAAGACCCGGGACCCCCACUGACAUUCUGAUUCUGAUUCUGACAUUGUGGGAUAAGUAUGCCUCGAUCUGGAUGGGAAGAAAAAUCAGGCAUACAUUCCAUCAUCAGAAACCAGAUGCGGCCACUAAAACACUAAAGCUCCCAUCCAGAGAGUCAUAAAACACACCAUAAUCAGAUGGUCCGUGCCAGGAUCAAUAGUUUCCAGUCAGACACGGUGCCCUGGAAGGCAGAUUUGGAUGCUGCAGCGGGAUGCGGAGGACUGAUGGGGACCGGGAGUUGGGUUACAUCUAGAGUGCACCAGAGAAUCGAUAGUUUGUGGAGGCUUUGGCACCCGGUCAGGGUUAUGGGCCGGUCCUCUCACGGGAUCAGAAGCACACAGGCAUGCCCGACAACACAUCCCUGACGAAUAAAUAAUAGCUGGUGUUUCACUUUCAGUACAGCAUCAUUUUUUUUUUGAAACAAAUGCACCUGCAAAAAAAUAUGAUGGUUUCAUUUGUCUUUUACUUUAAAAAGUCUCUCUUACUCUCUUAUUUACUUUGUAUUUAUUAUGUCUUACAUUAUAUACACCUGAGUAGCUUGUGGAAGAUUUUUGUGUCAUCAGAUAAAAUAAUCUCUUUGUUAAUCAAAUUUUUAAUUAUUAUUAUUAUUAUACUUUUUAUCAAUAUGAAUCAGCAAAGUAACUAGCAACCAACACAUGUACUGGUGUUAAAUAAAUGUACUAUUCUACCUGCAAUGCUGAAAUAUAUAUCAUACAAUUUAGGAGACAGUGAAUAAAUUAUCAUGUUAACCUAUUGUCCAAAAUCAUUGGCAUAUUUUUUUUGUAAUUUGUGAUACACCCUAUGGUGAACUAUGGUUUAAAAUGUUCAUAGUUUAUCAUUAUCAAAGAUCACAAUGUUGUGUUUUACCUCUGUAAUAAAGUUUAUUAAACUCUAUGAAGCGCUGAUGUAACAACCACA